rnacentral:rRNA from 1 species
AUUGAACGCUGGCGGCAGGCCUAACACAUGCAAGUCGAGCGGAUGAAGGGAGCUUGCUCCUGGCUUCAGCGGCGGACGGGCGAGUAAUGCCUAGGAAUCUGCCUGGUAGUGGGGGAUAACGUCCGGAAACGGGCGCGAAUACCGCAUACGUCCAGAGGGAGAAAGUGGGGGAUCUUCGGACAUCACGCUAUCAGAUGAGCCUAGGUCGGAUUAGCUAGUUGGUGGGGUAAAGGCCUACCAAGGCGACGAUCCGUAACUGGUCUGAGAGGAUGAUCAGUCACACUGGAACUGAGACACGGUCCAGACUCCUACGGGAGGCAGCAGUGGGGAAUAUUGGACAAUGGGCGAAAGCCUGAUCCAGCCAUGCCGCGUGUGUGAAGAAGGUCUUCGGAUUGUAAAGCACUUUAAGUUGGGAGGAAGAGCAGUAAGUUAAUCCCUUGCUGUUUUGACGUUACCAACAGAGUAAGCACCGGCUAACUUCGUG